AGAAUCAACGCUGGCGGCGUGCCUAACACAUGCAAGUCGAACGAGAAAGUGGAGCAAUCCAUGAGUAAAGUGGCGCACGGGUGAGUAACACGUGACUAACCUACCCUCGAGUGGGGAAUAACUUCGGGAAACCGAGGCUAAUACCGCAUAAAACCUAAGGGUCAAAGGAGCAAUCCGUUUGAGGAGGGGGUCGCGGCAGAUUAGUUAGUUGGCGGGGUAAUGGCCCACCAAGACGAUGAUCUGUAUCCGGCCUGAGAGGGCGCACGGACACACUGGAACUGAAACACGGUCCAGACUCCUACGGGAGGCAGCAGUGGGGAAUUUUGCGCAAUGGGGGAAACCCUGACGCAGCAACGCCGCGUGGAGGAUGAAAUCCCUUGGGAUGGUAAACUCCUUUCGAUCGGGAAGAUAAUGACGGUACCGGAAGAAGAAGCCCCGGCUAACUUCGUGCCAGCAGCCGC
rnacentral:rRNA from 1 species